AUGCAACUGAAGAAUAAGGUGCAUACAGGGUUUUUACAUGAGUCUAUACAACAGUGUUGGGUGUUUGGUCCAGGAACUAGAUUGGCUGUCCUAGGCCAGCCCAAGGCUAUGUCCUCAGUCAAUCUGUUCCCACCUUCCUCUGAAGAGCUCAAGACUAACAAGACCACAGUUGUGUAUAUGAUCACUGGGUUCUAUCCAGCUGAUGUGACAGUGGCCUGGAAGGCAGAUGAUAUCCCUAUCACUCAGGGUGUGGAGACUACCCAGCCUUCCAAACAGCGUGACAGCAAGUACAUGGCUAGCAGCUACCUGCUCUUGACAGCAGAAGCAUGGGAAUCUCAUAGGAUAUUCAGCUGCUAUGUCACUCAUGAAAGGAACACUGUGGAAAAGAGUUCGUCCCAUGCUGAGUGUUCCUAG